rnacentral:rRNA from 1 species
GGACAGAAAGACCCUAUGAAGCUUUACUGUAGCUUGGAAUGGGGUUCGGGCUUCGCUUGCGCAGGAUAGGUGGGAGACGUAGAAGUAUUCCUUGUGGGGAAUAUGGAGCCAUCAGUGAGAUACCACUCUUGUAAUGUUAGAUUUCUAACUUUGUAUCAUUAUCUGGUCAAAGAACAGUUUCAGGCGGGCAGUUUGACUGGGGCGGUCGCCUCCUAAAUGGUAACGGAGGCGCACAAAGGUUUCCUCUGAACGGGUAGAAAUCGUAUCUAGAGUGUAAAGGCAUAAGGAAGCUUGACUGUGAGACCUACAAGUCGAGCAGGGACGAAAGUCGGUCUUAGUGAUCUGACGGUGCUGAGUGGAAAGGCCGUCACUCAACGGAUAAAAGUUACUCUAGGGAUAACAGGCUGA